CCUACGGGAGGCAGCAGUGGGGAAUUUUGGACAAUGGGCGAAAGCCUGAUCCAGCAAUGCCGCGUGAGUGAAGAAGGCCUUCGGGUUGUAAAGCUCUUUUGUCAGGGAAGAAACGGUGAGGGCUAAUAUCCUUUGCUAAUGACGGUACCUGAAGAAUAAGCACCGGCUAACUACGUGCCAGCAGCCGCGGUAAUACGUAGGGUGCAAGCGUUAAUCGGAAUUACUGGGCGUAAAGCGUGCGCAGGCGGUUUUGUAAGUCUGAUGUGAAAUCCCCGGGCUCAACCUGGGAAUUGCAUUGGAGACUGCAAGGCUAGAAUCUGGCAGAGGGGGGUUAGAAUUCCACGUGUAGCAGUGAAAUGCGUAGAUAUGUGGAGGAACACCGAUGGCGAAGGCAGCCCCCUGGGUCAAGAUUGACGCUCAUGCACGAAAGCGUGGGGAGCAAACAGGAUUAGAUACCCUGGUAGUCCACGCCCUAAACGAUGUCUACUAGUUGUCGGGUCUUAAUUGACUUGGUAACCGNAGCUAACGCGUGAAGUAGACCGCCUGGGGAUACGGUCGCAAGNUUAAAACCGUCAAAGUNUAAGUGACGUGAGAGAGCGACGACGGACGACGACGGAGGAGGAG
rnacentral:rRNA from 1 species